rnacentral:rRNA from 1 species
GGGGACCCGCACAAGCAGCGGAGCGUGUGGUUUAAUUCGUUGCUACACGAAGAACCUUACCUGGGUUUGACAUAUAGGUUGUAGGGAACUGAAAAGGGACCGACCCUUCGGGGAGCCUAUACAGGUGUUGCAUGGCUGUCGUCAGCUCGUGUCGUGAGAUGUUCGGUUAAGUCCGCUAACGAGCGCAACCCUCGUCGUAUGUUAUAUGUGUCAUACGAGACUGCCGGUAAAAAGCCGGAGGAAGGUGAGGAUGAUGUCAAGUCAGCAUGACCUUUAUAUCCAGGGCUACACACACGCUACAAUGGUCUGUACAAUGGGUAGCCAAGCCGCGAGGCGGAGCCAAUCCUGAAAGCAGGCCUCAGUUCAGAUUGCAGUCUGCAACUCGACUGCAUGAAGCCGGAGUUGCUAGUAACCGCAGGUCAGCAAUACUGCGGUGAAUACGUUCCCGGGUCUU